CCCGAAUCUAAAAGAGCUAAGACUUUAUAUUUUAAAUGUUUCAUAAUUUCUAUUAAUAGAGUUGUAGUAGCGAAACGUUAUUCGUUUUUUGAUAUAUCUGGUUUUUUGGGAAAUAAAUUUAAUUUAUUUAUUUUUAAAAUUUUUUUUAGUAAUUAAAUUAAUUUUGAAAAUAUUUAAUUUUCUUAGGGAAAAGCUUGAGAAAAUAAUUUUAUUUAUUUGUAAAUAAAGGUUUGCAGGUAGGAUUAUAAAUUUCCGUCUUUAGAACAAUGUUAUAGUUUUCUUAUUGUAAAUUAUUAUUUUUAUAAAUAAUAAAUUUUAUACCAAAAUUUUGUAUAAAAUUAUAAUUUUCAAGAAAAAAUGAUUGGAUUAGUAUAUUUUUAUGUAAUUUUAUAUUUGUAAGGAAUAUACAAAGAAUGAAUUCGGCAAAAUAAUUUUCCACCUGUUUAUUAAAAACAUGUCCUUUUGAGAAUAAUAUAAGGUCGGGCCUGCUCAAUGAUAGUAUUGAAUAGCUGCAGUAUUUUGACUGUACUAAGGUAGCAUAAUCAUUAGUUUUUUAAUUGGAAACUGGAAUGAAGGGUUUGAUGAGAAAAUGACUGUAUCCUUUGUAAUUAUAGAAUUUUAUUUUUAAGUAAAAAAGCUUAAAUGAUGUUAAAAGACGAGAAGACCCUAUAGAGUUUAAUAAUUAAAAAAUUUUUGGUAAAUAAGUUAGAAAUUUAUUUUGAUUUGAGAAAUUAUUUGGUUGGGGUGAUUAAAAAAUUAAAUAAACUUUUGUGAUUAAAACUUUAAUUUAAGGUUAGUUUGAUCCGUUUUUAACGAUUAUAAGAAUAAAUUACCUUAGGGAUAACAGCGUUAUCUUUUUUUAGAGUUCAAAUCGAUAAAAUGGAUUGCGACCUCGAUGUUGGAUUAAAAUUUAUUUUUAGGCGCAAAAGCUUAAUGAUUGAGUCUGUUCGACUUUUGAAAUUUUACAUGAUCUGAGUUUAAACCGGUGUGAGCCAGGUUGGUUUCUAUCUUUAAUUUAUACUAAAAAUUUUAGUACGAAAGGACCAAAUUUU
rnacentral:rRNA from 1 species